UUUGCAUGUUUUGUGUAUAACCAGAAUGAAAGAAAAGAAAAUAUCAUUUGCAUUCAUCAAGAAUUGAUCUUUUGUGUUAUCUAAAGUGAUGGUGUCUAUUUGACUUUUUUUUUUUUUUUUUUUUUUGGCCUUUUUAGGGCUGCACCUGCGGCAUAUGGAGUUUCCCAGUCUCAGGGUCAAAUCAGAGCUGUAGCUGUUGGUUUACACCACAGCCACAGCUGCUGGCUUACACCACAGCCACAGCAACACCAGAUGCAAGGAGGCAUGUCUGCAACCUACACUACAGCUCACAGCAACACUGGAUCUUUAACCCACUGAGUGAGGACAAAGAUCGAACCUGAGUCCUCAUGGAUUUGUUUCCACUGAGCCACAAUGAGAACUCCCCUAUUUGACUUUUUAAAAUAAAUUUUAUUGGCAUAUAGCUGACUUACAAAGUUUGUGUUAAUUUCAGGUGUACAGCAAAGUGAAUCAGAUAUAUAUGUGUAGAUAGAUAGAUAGAAAGAUAGAUAGUCAUUCCUUUCCAGAUUAUUUUAUAAAUGACUUUUGAUAAAUGACUUUUCCAAGCUUAAAAAAAAAAAGAUUUCUUGAGGAGAAAAAUCUAGAAGUGCACUUUUGCUAAAGACACAUCAGGUGGUUGCUAACUUCCUUCAAAACUUAAAUUUGACUAUAUACAGCAGAGGCUCUCCCUGCACAACGAAAUGCACUGUGAGCCUUGCACAGCCAACUGUGAGCAUGUGCUCGGAAGAGAUAACUGCAAUAUCUCCUAGAAGAAUGAAUGAACUGAGAGCAAGAUCUGCUUGUUCAUCUGUUUUGGAUCAGUUUUUCUCAACUUAAGUAUACCAUGAAUGCAGAGACUGGCACAUGGGAGGCACUCAGUAAAUUCUGAUUUCUGACAGAACGAAUGAACAGCUUGGUGGCCUCAGAAAGACUGUGAAGAAGUGCUUAUUCCCCUCACACCACACUGUGUAUGACAGGUGAAUGUCAGGACUCUGGUUUUAUGAUAUGCUCUGAAUCUUCCCCCAUCAACAUUUUCCACUGCUCUGCAGCAAUUUGACACUAUAUUCCCUGCUUUCCUCUCUCUCUCUCUCUCUCUCUUUUUUUAGGGCCACACCUGCAGCACAUGGAGGUUCCCAGAC
rnacentral:lncRNA from 1 species